AUGGAUAAAUCCAAAAAUAAACAAGAAGAAAAGGAAUUUGAGGCGGCCAUGCUUGCAUUUGCUCUGGAUGUGGCGUCGUCAAGUGUGACACUGCCGUAUGCACCAAGAAAGUUACAUCUUGUCACAGGCCUCCAAUGGGUAGAAGAGAAGGAGAAAGAUGCAAAAUCUUUCUAUGCUAUGUUCAGAAUGAGGAGGUCAGUGUUUCGCACAUUGCAUGAUCUGUUAGUUCAGAAGUAUGGGCUUGAGUCAACUUCCAACAUUUCAUCCAAAGAAGCAUUGGCAUAA
rnacentral:rRNA from 1 species